GACGAACGCUGGCGGCGUGCUUAACACAUGCAAGUCGAACGCUGAAGCUCAGCUUUUGUUGGGUGGAUGAGUGGCGAACGGGUGAGUAACACGUGAGUAACCUGCCCCCUUCUUUGGGAUAACGCCCGGAAACGGGUGCUAAUACUGGAUAUUCACUGGUCUUCGCCUGGGGGUUGGUGGAAAGGGUUUUUCUGGUGGGGGUUGGGCUCGCGGCCUAUCAGCUUGUUGGUGGGGUGAUGGCCUAACAAGGCGUUGACGGGUAGCCGGCCUGAGAGGGUGACCUGUCACAGUGGGACGGAGAUGCGGCCCAGACUACUACGGGGGGCAGCAGUGGGGAAUAUUGCAGAAUGGGCGACAGCGUGAUGCAGCGUCGCCGCGGGAGGGAUGGAGGCCGUCGGGUUGUGAACCUCUUUCGCUAAUGGUCAAGCCGCAACAAUGGUUGUGGUGAGGGUAGUGGGUAAAGAAGCGCCGGCUAACUACGUG
rnacentral:rRNA from 1 species